rnacentral:lncRNA from 1 species
ACAAAUCAAAUUGUUGGAUGAGAUAGAGAAUAAAUACUAGUAUAAAAGAAUGAUAGGUAAGUACCAGUGUACAACAAAAAGAUUAUAAAUCAUACAUGCGUAAUUUAAUAAAAAUAUUGUAUAGUUAUUAUAAGCAUUCAUGAACCUUCACUUUGGAAAUUGCUGUACUGUUUUCCCUUGUUCUUGUUCAAAAUUAUAACAAUGACCAUAUCCAUUAUAUUCAGUUGAAUGGCAGUCAGUUCCUGUUUCAAUAUUUCUUAGUUUGUCUUUUUUAUAAAGAGAUUAGAUAUUUAGAUCAGUAUUUGCUAGUUUUGAAAAUAAAUGUGGUAUUCUUCUCCCCUUACUGACAGGGCAAUCUCUUUCGAUUCAUUUGGAAGGCAUAUAUGUUCUCCAUGAUUAUAUGCACGAACGUAUAAGCAGGUAACACUUAUUUUCGCUCAUUGUACUUGAUGAAAGUGAGUAUAAAAUGGCUAAAUGUAUUGAUCAUCCUAGUUCAAGGGGAAAGAUAGAAACACAAAUCAUCACUCACUUUUCAAGAUAAAAAGAACUUCUCUGUGACUCUUCUAGGAAAUUUUUAUAGGAUGGUUGUUAUCUCAUAACAUAAAUAGGAUUAAGUAAAUGCCUGGCUGGAUAAAAUAACAUCUGGUUCAUGCAGACAUGUAAUUGUAAUUGAGUUAUAGCUUAUUAUUUAUUGCUUCAAAAGUGAUAAAAAAAAAUGAUACUACUGCCAGCCAUAAUAUACUAAUACUUCACUUCUUCAUCCAUACCAUAAGAAAAUUUUUUGGAUUUGCUGGCUCUCUAGUGAGAGGUCAUGGAAGCAUGCAUAUUGGCCCUUUGAGUGUGGGAGAGGCGCUUAAAACUGCUGCAUAAUCCAGUGAUUUAUGCUUUAUCAUUAAGUAAUCAUGCUACAGAAUUUCUGAAUCUCUCAUAGCUGAGUUCAUUGGCUUACAGUGAUACCAAGAUUGCGGUGGUUUGUGUAGUCUCUUUCCAUUCUCAUAGGGUUCUGAGUUAUUUGUUUGAUUUAUAUAUGUGUUUUAUUGAUGGGGGAGAGGAAAUGAGGUAGUUCUAGUUGUCUGGUGGUUGCAGAGGAAGAACGUGGUGGAGGAGAAGAAACAGAAUAGAAAAGAAAAAGGAUGGCAAGGAAAGAGAGAAAAGGUGGGUGAAGGAACCAAAAAUUAUGGUCUGGGGUUUUGAUGAUCUUUUAUUACUAUUACUAUAGCUAUAAUAUUUACUUCUCUCCCCCCUUUUCUUGUUUUAGUCAAAUUUAGCUACCAGAACUACAGGACAGCUGUGAAUGUUUUAGGACAAAAACUAUUAGAAUACACACAUGCAGAUGGUAAAUAUUUAUUUGUUUAAUGCUCUCACUCUUGUUUUCAAUCCCACGUUAG